AUUGAACGCUGGCGGCAGGCCUAACACAUGCAAGUCGAACGGUAACAGGAGGAAGCUUGCUUCUUUGCUGACGAGUGGCGGACGGGUGAGUAAUGUCUGGGAAACUGCCUGAUGGAGGGGGAUAACUACUGGAAACGGUAGCUAAUACCGCAUAACGUCGCCAGACCAAAAAGGGGGACCUUCGGGCCUCUUGCCAUCGGAUGUUCCCAGAUGGGAUUAGCUAGUAGGUGGGGUAACGGCUCACCUAGGCUACGAUCCCUAGCUGGUCUGAGAGGAUGACCAGCCACACUGGAACUGAGACACGGUCCAGGCUCCUACGGGAGGCAGCAGUCGGGAAUAUUGCGCAAUGGGCGCAAGCCUGAUGCAGCCAUGCCGAGUGUAUGAAGAAGGCCUUCGGGUUGUAAAGUACUUUCAGCGGGGAGGAAGGGAGUAAAGUUAAUACCUUUGCUCAUUGACGUUACCCGCAGAAGAAGCACCGGCUAACUCCGUG
rnacentral:rRNA from 1 species